rnacentral:rRNA from 1 species
AGAAGACCCUAUAGAGUUUUAUAAAUAAAUUAAUUGAGAUUAUUUAUUAAAUAAAAAUUAAGAUUAAGUUGUUUAUUAUAUUGGGGUGAUAGAAAAAUGUAAUUAACUUUUUUUUUAUAUGUAAAAACAUUUAUAAGUGAUUAUAUGAUCCAAUAUUAUUGAUUAUAAGAAAAAAUUACCUUAGGGAUAACAGCGUAAUUUUUUUUUUUAGUUCAUAUAAGAAAAAGAGUUUGCGACCUCGAUGUUGGAUUAAGAUAAAAUUUAAAUG